GAUGAACGCUAGCGGGAGGCCUAACACAUGCAAGCCGAGCGGUAGAGUUUCUUCGGAAACUUGAGAGCGGCGCACGGGUGCGUAACACGUGUGCAACCUACCUUUAUCUGGGGGAUAGCCUUUCGAAAGGAAGAUUAAUACCCCAUAAUAUAAUGAUUGGCAUCAAUUAUUAUUGAAAACUCCGGUGGAUAGAGAUGGGCACGCGCAAGAUUAGAUAGUUGGUGAGGUAACGGCUCACCAAGUCAAUGAUCUUUAGGGGUCCUGAGAGGGAGAUCCCCCACACUGGUACUGAGACACGGACCAGACUCCUACGGGAGGCAGCCGUGAGGAAGAUUGGACAAUGGGUGAGAGCCUGAUCCAGCCAUCCCGCGUGAAGGAUGACGGUCCUAUGGAUGGUAAACUUCUUUUGUACAGGGAUAAACCUACCCUCGUGAGGGUAGCUGAAGGUACUGUACGAAUAAGCACCGGCUAACUCCGUG
rnacentral:rRNA from 1 species